rnacentral:rRNA from 1 species
UAUCUCUGUAGAGUCUGCAUAUCAAUAAGCGGAGGAAAAGAAACUAACUAGGAUUCCCUCAGUAACGGCGAGUGAAGCGGGAAGAGCUCAAAUUUGAAAUCUUCAAGGUUCUACCUUGACGAAUUGUAGUUUAAAGAAGUGUUUUCUGUUGGAGUUUUGGUAAAAGUUCUUUGGAAUAGGACAUCAUAGAGGGUGAGAAUCCCGUAUUUGACCAUUAUUUCCAGCUUUGUGAUACACUUUCAAAGAGUCGGAUUGUUUGGGAAUGCAGUCCAAAAUGGGUGGUAAAUUUCAUCUAAAGCUAAAUAUUGGCGAGAGACCGAUAGCGAACAAGUACCGUGAGGGAAAGAUGAAAAGAACUUUGAAAAGAGAGUUAAACAGUACGUGAAAUUGUCAAAAGGGAAGCGUUUGACACCAGUGUUGUUUUCUCGAAAAUCAAUUAAAAAAGGCAGGAUUUUGUGUUGUAUUGACUUUAUCAGCUUUCUGCACUCUUUUCUUGUCUUUUUUAAUGCACUUUUCGUUUAACAAGUCAACAUCAAUUUCUUUUGUUGUAAAAGGGUCAUUGGAAGGUGGCUUUCUUUUCGGAGAAAGUGUUUAUAGCCUUUGGCCUCUGCAAUCGGAGAGAUUGAGGUCUGCAGCGUAGAUCCUUCGGGGUUAGAUACAUUUGUGCUAAGUUAUAGCCUUUCAUAGACAACUUGUUGACUAUGAUCAGUCAUGUAGCUUACUCGCUUAUGCUAUUUUACCUACGCUUAGGAUGUUGAAGUCAUCGUAUCGCGC